rnacentral:rRNA from 1 species
GAUGAACGCUGGCGGCGUGCCUAAUACGUGCAAGUCGAGCGAACAGAUGAGGAGCUUGCUCCUCUGACGUUAGCGGCGGACGGGUGAGUAACACGUGGAUAACCUACCUAUAAGACUGGGAUAACUUCGGGAAACCGGAGCUAAUACCGGAUAAUAUAUUGAACCGCAUGGUUCAAUAGUGAAAGACGGUUUUGCUGUCACUUAUAGAUGGAUCCGCGCCGCAUUAGCUAGUUGGUAAGGUAACGGCUUACCAAGGCAACGAUGCGUAGCCGACCUGAGAGGGUGAUCGGCCACACUGGAACUGAGACACGGUCCAGACUCCUACGGGAGGCAGCAAUAGGGAAUCUUCCGCAAUGGGCGAAAGCCUGACGGAGCAACGCCGCGUGAGUGAUGAAGGUCUUCGGAUCGUAAAACUCUGUUAUUAGGGAAGAACAAAUGUGUAAGUAACUAUGCACGUCUUGACGGUACCUAAUCAGAAAGCCACGGCUAACUACGUG